UUUCGAAUCAUUCACAAUGGGGGCAACCCUGAUGGUGCAACGCCGCGUGGGGGAUGAAGGUCUUCGGAUUGUAAACCCCUGUCACACAGGACUAACCGCGAGGUUCAUAGCCUCGUCUGAAUUAACUGUGAGAGGAAGUAGUGGCUAACUCCGUGCCAGCAGCCGCGGUAAUACGGAGACUACGAGCGUUACUCGGAUUCACUGGGCGUAAAGGGAGCGCAGGCGGAUUGGUGUGUUGGGUGUGAAAUACCGGGGCUUAACUUCGGAAUUGCGCCCAAAACUAUUAAUCUAGAGACUUGGAGAGGUAAGCGGAAUUUCCGGUGUAGCGGUAAAAUGCGCAGAUAUCGGAAGGAACACCGAAGGCGAAGGCAGCUUACUGGACAGGAUCUGACGCUCAUGCUCGAAAGCGUGGGGAGCGAAAGGG
rnacentral:rRNA from 1 species